GAUGAAGAACGUAGCAAAAUGCGAUACUUGGUGUGAAUUGCAGAAUCCCGUGAACCAUCGAGUUUUUGAACGCAAGUUGCGCCCGAAGCCUUUUGGCCGAGGGCACGUCUGCCUGGGCGUCACGCAUCGCGUCGCCCCCCCCAAAUUCUCCGUCAGGGGAGCUUGUGUUUCGGGGGCGGAUACUGGUCUCCCGUGCUCAUGGCGCGGUUGGCCGAAAUAGGAGUCCCUUCGAUGGACGCACGAACUAGUGGUGGUCGUAAAAACCCUCGUCUUUUGUUUCGUGCCGUUAGUCGCGAGGGAAGCUCUUCAAAAACCCAAGCGCGUCGUCUCUUGACGGCGCUUCGACCGCGACCCCAGGUCAGGCGGGACUACCCGCUGAGUUUAAGCAUAUCAAUAAGCGGAGGA
rnacentral:misc_RNA from 1 species